ensembl:misc_RNA Y_RNA Y RNA
AGCUGGUCCAGAAGCAGUAAGUUAUUACAGUUGAUCGUUCAGAUACAGAUGGAACUCCUUGUUCUACUCUUUUCCUCCCUUCUCACUACUGUACUUGACUUGUCUUAA